UGGAGCUGCGAGUAAAGUGGUCGCAACUGCUUCAAUAACUCCUUCAGGUCCUUCUGGAAAGUGGGAGAUUCGUACCAACCUCUGAGAUAAUCCCCCGUGUCAGAAUGAUCUGAAACAAAAAUUGAAAGAGAAACAUCCCCAACUACAGGCAGCAACUUUUCAAUACUAUCCACACAUCUACGUGUACUGCAGAUUUAAGUUUUUUUUCUUCAAAAUAUGACCCUCCAGGGUAAGGGUCAGUCUACUUUAAUCCAUUCAAAGAAAUCAUCCCAACCAGCAGAUGUUACCUUAAUUUAAGUUUGACAAAAUCAAAUGCAAGUGGUUUGUGUGGCCAAGACUCAGCGGCGUAAUGGACUGACAGUAGGAGCAGUACAAACGUUACCAGUUCCUGCAUAUAUGUGGUGUAUCCUUAGACAAUACAAAGCCAUGUGUAGAAUCGGCUUUUGCUGGUGUUAACCUAAACUAGCAUUGGGUGAUUAUAGAAAAUUUUCAGAAUAUAAGGGGCGAGGGACGCUAGGCGAUACUUAAUCCACUUCAUCCGUGUUUUAUAUAUUAGCGAUGUACAAGUAAGUAUGCGUGGACACUAUGUAUCACUAAUUCAAUAAAACAGACUAUACGAACUCUUCCAUUUCAGAAGAUAAAAUAUUGUGCCAUGGAAGUCGGAAAAUAUUGGGAUAGUUUAUUUUGUGGCAUUUGCAUACUUAGACGGUAAGUAAUGCGGCAUUAAUGAUGACACAGAGUCAACUAACUUAUCUGAAGCGAACAGCAAUGUCACUUAAGUGCACAUUAACUGUUCCGAGAUUCGAUGAAGGCGAGAUUAGGGGUGGGGUGUCGAAAAACUUAUAUCUAGCACCAGGAUGGCUAGCCAUAAUGGCUAGUAGUGGUUUUAGCUUACUUUAAAAAGAACUACAUGUAAAAACACCCUGUGACUCGAAUGUGCAUAGGUUUAGCCACUAUAGAAGCCAGGUGAUUCUGUCGAGUGUUACGGUACCAGGGUCUCUUGACAAGAUUGGUGAUAUACACAAGAAAUACACACAAAUAUUAGCAUUUAGUUUUAAGUGGAACAAGAUUCCAAUCUUGCCUAGUCUAGUCAUGCAUGCACCAUCUAGCAGAUUGUCCGCUUAAAAAACCUGCGGUGCACCGUCACUCAUUAUGUUGAAAUUCUUUCACGGUGCCCAUUCAUUCAUAUUGAUGUCGGCAUACAUGUAGGCAUGGUUUUUUUUUUUUAAAUUCUUUGAAAGUUAAUGCAUGCACAUGUAGAAAUCACUUGCCCUAUGACGAGUUUUUAUCAAUGACUAUAUAUAAAUCAAAAGUGUCAUUUUCACACCAAAAUACAUAAUAUAAUUUGGUACAAUUUUAAGACUUUUUUCCAAGAAAAAAGAUGGGACUGGAAUACAUUAUGAAAAAUAAAGAAAUCUGAUUGACAAAUAUUUAAACUCACCACUUUCUUUUGGUUGUGGUCCGUUAUAUUGGUGUAGUAAUCCCAUUGUGUUAACCUAUACCUGUACUCCACUUUUGAAAACUCUGCAUUGUACCAAUCCAAAAACUCGACUCCUUUUGAUUCGUCCUUGAUUAAAUUCGGGUCAUCUGAGACGGGCACAGAAACUGCACUCAGGAAGCAGGUAGAAAAGCAUGCAACAAAGAAAGCUUUCAUUUUAGCACGUUCAUAUAAACACUGACUAUACCCAAUGUGGAUAUUGGAGCUUAUCGUUUGGAAUAAGAAAUCUCUAAUCGCAUUGAUAUUCAACUACGGAAUCCCCAUAUCACAGGGACUUUUGAUAUUCACGAUGCAAUUAGAUCAAAUCAGGUUUUUUUUUCUUUCCUUUUGGUUAUAAUGCUGUAUUUCCAAACAAUUAAAGUUAUCUCAUUCUCGAAGGGUCAUAAACGUCCCGCGAAAUGUCGAGUUCCCCGCCUCUUCACGUCGAUUAUCAUC